ensembl:snRNA U6 U6 spliceosomal RNA
GUGACAACUUUGGCAGCACAUCUGCUAAAACUGGAACAGUGCAGAGAAGGUUAGCAUAGCCCCUGAACAAAGGUAACAUGCAAAUUUGUAUUUCCUAUUUUU